GUAUGUAAAGCUAAUAUCCCCGAAGCGCUGGUUUUGUAGUCCAGAAAUAGAAUAAAUUUCUACAUACA
rnacentral:tRNA from 1 species